ACAAACUUGGUCAUUUAGAGGAAGUAAAAGUCGUAACAAGGUCUCCGUAGGUGAACCUGCGGAGGGAUCAUUACCGAGUGAGGGCGCUCGUCGCCCGACCUCCCACCCUGUGUUUGAUGAACACCUUUGUUGCCUCGGGGGCGACCCGGCCUCGCGCCGGGGCCCCCGGCGGACCACUCAACCACCCUGCGUCGAAUUGCGUCGGAGUCUGGGAUACGAAUCAAUCAAAACUUUCAACAACGGAUCUCUUGGUUCUGGCAUCGAUGAAGAACGCAGC
rnacentral:misc_RNA from 1 species